CUUUCCUACGGGACGCAGCAGUGGGGAAUAUUGCACAAUGGGGGAAACCCUGAUGCAGCAACGCCGCGUGAAGGAAGACGGUUUUCGGAUUGUAAACUUCUGUUCUUAGUGAAGAAGAAUGACGGUAGCUAAGGAGCAAGCCACGGCUAACUACGUGCCAGCAGCCGCGGUAAUACGUAGGUGGCAAGCGUUGUCCGGAAUUACUGGGUGUAAAGGGAGCGCAGGCGGGAAGCCCAGUCAGCUGUGAAAACUACGGGCUUAACUUGUAGACUGCAGUUGAAACUGGUUUUCUUUAGGGAAGUAGG
rnacentral:rRNA from 1 species